UAAAUAAAAAAAUCCAUGGAGUACACUGUACAGUCUGAUCAAGGACUUAUCCAAAGUACACCUCAGAGCCAAUGUCACCCAACUGAACAGGUGGCAGUGGCAUCAUUUACACGACUUGUUUCUUGCAAGCGGAGCAAGCGACCCAACACCCUCACCUUCAGCAAAGCAGCACCGAGAGCAAGACUCAAGUUUCGAGUUUCGACCGUUCGAGGUAGCAGCCCACCACGGAAAAACAGAGCAUUCACUAUGAGUGAUCAACACCAGGACCCCAAGCCGCCCCAAAACUUGCCCUCUUCUUCCUCUUCUUCAAAUAAAAUUCCCGGCAACGGCACCGACUUCUCGGGUCACAAGGCCCGAUACCCGAACCCCCCGGACGCUUCGAAUCCGGACCCCGCAACGCUCCGAGAGCAAUGGAGGUUCGCUAUCAAACAGUACAGCAGGUGGUACUCCAGCGCCUGGGGCACCGCCAUUCUCGCUGGCAUCUCUUUCUUCGCCCUCGGUUGGAUCAUCAAGGGUUCCAAUCCCCUCCCUUCUUUCCGCGAUAAGCACCCCGAGCCUUCCUCCUCUUCCGCUUCUUCAUCUACCGAUGAUGCAAGUGAAGCUCGCCCAUGAAGUCGGUGGGUUGUUCUGUUAUCUAUGUCCCUGGGCGUGUAUAUAGGUUUUUUUGGGAACUUUUGCUGUGUUUCUUUUGACAGGUGCCUCAGCAAUAAGGAAGAUAGCCACUCAAUCCAUCGGUCUCAGAACUGAACCUUCAACUGAUUUUGGUGUUCAUUGUCUUGAAAGUAUCAUAACUUUUUUGUUUUAGAUGCCAAAGGUACAAUAUGAUGGUUCCGUCCAAAUUAUGGGAUAUGUUUGCGUGUGAUUCACCAUAGAUGUCGUGGAUAGUCUAAGGCAUGGUGUGCCAUGCAAGGUUCAUUGUAUAUUUGCAGCUCAAGGUUUUUUAAAGUUGUUUGGUAAA